GUAGCAAUACUUUGAUGAGAGUGGCGCACGGGUGCGUAACGCGUAUGCAACCUACCUUUAACUGGGAGAUAGCCCCGAGAAAUCGGGAUUAAUACCCCAUAACAUUACGAAUUGGCAUCAAUUUGUGAUUAAAGCUCCGGCGGUUAGAGAUGGGCAUGCGUGACAUUAGCUGGUUGGUGAGGUAACGGCUCACCAAGGCAACGAUGUCUAGGGGUCCUGAGAGGGUUAUCCCCCACACUGGUACUGAGACACGGACCAGACUCCUACGGGAGGCAGCAGUAAGGAAUAUUGGUCAAUGGGCGCAAGCCUGAACCAGCCAUGCCGCGUGCAGGAAGACGGCCCUAUGGGUUGUAAACUGCUUUUAUCAGGGAAUAAACCCCCGCUCGUGAGCGGGGCUGAAGGUACCUGAGGAAUAAGCAUCGGCUAACUCCGUGCCA
rnacentral:rRNA from 1 species